AAAAAAAAACAUUCUUCCAUUCUAAACAAGAAAUUUAGUAAAAAAAAAUUAAUUGAAUUGAAUUCUACCAAACAAACAAAUUGUAAUAAAAAUAUAAUAAACAAUAAAAUAAAAUAAACCUUUUUUUUUUCUCAAGGACAUACGAAGCUGUGCAGAAAAUAGUGUACACUUCUCUUUCUUCAUUUCUGUUGGCGUCUUCUCAAUGCCAAAUAACAAUUAUCUACUAUUUUCAUUAUUAGCUCUAAUUCUGAUUCUUGAUAGAAGAGAGGGCAUAAAUGACAUGGCACAGACUGAUCAAAUGAAACAGGUUGUUACAGAAGGGGUAAAAAUCACUACAAGAUAGGGAAACACAGAUGUAGAAUAGAAUAAUCUACAGUAUAAAAGGCUUCCAAGAAUCAAGUUAAAGGGUGGAGCUCUGGUCAGUAGGAUAAACAACUUGGACUUUCAAUCAGCUUUUCAAGGGUUUCUCAGAGCUGCCAACCUCUUCUCAAGC
rnacentral:lncRNA from 1 species